rnacentral:lncRNA from 10 species
CGUGAACCUGGGUGAUGGAGCUUGCAGUGAGCUGAGAUUGUGCCACUGCACUCCAGCCUGGGUAACAGAGUGAGACUCUGUCCCAAAAAAAGAAAAAAAAAAAAAGAAUAUGCAAUUGAUUGUAUAUGAAUUAUACUGAAAGCUGUGAAAAAUUUUUAAAAAAUGACUGAGGUUUUCCACAGUGGUUGAACUAUUUUAAAUUCCUGUCAGCAAUGUGUGAGAAUUCUAGUUGUCUACCACAUCUUUACCAAAAAUUGAUCUUAAUUAGUGCCUUUAAUUUAACCAUUUGGUUGUAGUGUAGUGGUGUCGCAUUGUGGUUUUCAUUUGUAUUUUUCUGAUGUCUAAUGAUAUAAACUUCCUUUUUCAUAUGCUUAUGAGUCAUUUGAAAACACUCUUUUGUUGUGUGUCUAUUUCCAGUAUUUCUCCCUUUUUAUUGAAUUCCUUAAAUUUGUAGUUCUGACUAAGUCCCUUGUCAUAUGUAUUACCUAUCUUCCAAAAAUCUUCUCACAGUCUGUGGCUUGCCGUUUCACUCUAUUGUCUUUGUUGAAUAGUUCUUAAUGAAAUCCAAUUUAUUACGCUUUUCUCUUUAGCACUUUAUAUAUCUUGUUUAAAAUGUUUUAACCUAUCUAAAAUAAUGAAGAUUUUUUUUUUCUAGAAGUUUCAUUGUUUUAGUUUUCAUAUGUAAGCUAUCACAAUUUUUAUUUUGGUGUGAUGUGAAGUAGAGGAUUAAUGCUUCUUUUUAUUUUAAUGGAUUCCAAUUGACACAAUACUGUUCAAUGAGAAGACUGGCUCCUCUUGCACUCAAUUGCAAUGGCACCCUUGUCACAAAUCAAGUGACCAAAUGAAAACCAUUUCUUAUGCUUCAUUUGUAAUUUUUCUUUGCCAUGUUUAUAGGUUUUAUAUCAAGAAUGUGCUGAUCUCGUAAAAUACGUAGAGACCAGAGGGUCUCCUUUAUAUGCUCUGAAACAUCUGUACUUUAGAAAUUAUAUAUUCUUGACAAUUUUGAAAUACUUAACCCGUAGUUCUACAUGGGGGAUAAGGUAAAAAACAAAUGAAAUACUUAACCUUAAAGCUAUUUUUAUCCAGUCAGCGUCCAAUCAAGGAAACAGAAACCACUCGAGUAUUUAAAUAAGAAGGUGAUAUGGUUAGGCUUUGUGUCCCCACCCAAAUCUCAUCUUGAAUUGUAAUCCCCAUAAUCCCCAUGUGUCAAGGGAGAGACCAGGUGGAGGUAAUUGAAUCAUGGGGACGGUUCCCCCAUGCUGUUCUCAUGACAGUGAGUGAGUUCUCAUGAGAUCUGAUGGUUUAAUAAGGGGCUCUUCCCCCUUCGCUUGAUACUUCUCCUUGUUGCUGCCUUGUGAAGAAGGUGCCUUGCUUCCCCUUCAUCUUCUGCCAUGUUUGUAAGUUUCCUGAGGUCUUCCCAGCCAUGCAGAACUGUGAGUCAAUUAAACCUCUUUCUUUUAUAAACUACCCAGUCUUGAACAGUUUUUUAUAGCAGUAUGAAAAUGGACGAAUACAGAAGGAAUUUAAUGCAGGGAAUUAAUUAUACACAUGAUGGAAGGAGCUGAAAAGCCAACCAAAUGGAAUUUGCAAUAGCAGAUGCCCUCCCACUUCUAACCAGCGGGGAACAAAAGGAGGAGGUGAUAUCACUGCAGUUGAAAGGUUGAAGUCAUCAAGUGGAAGCUGGAACCAUGUUGAUGUGACUAGAAGAAGCUGAAACUAAGAAAAGAGGUAACCAGUGUGGGAGACUCCACCAGAGGCAGAGUAGAAUGGGACAAAAACAAUCAAACAAAAACUUAAAAACCUGGCUUAUCCCCUCCCCUAGUCUCCAGCCUCUUGCUGUUACCUCCCGAUUCCUGAAUCUACCAGAAGCCAGCUGACAUUGGAGCCUCGGAAGCAUGCCCUGCAAGGGCCAGCCUCAGGAGGAUAAUGCCUAGAAGGGGAAGGUUACAGAGUGAUCUAGGGGCAGAAGGCCCAGGACUAGUACCCUAUCUGACCCAGACCCUUUCUCUGGAGUUAGUAAUUGGUUUUUCUUCUAAUUCUUGAGUCAGUUUUGGUUAUCUCUAUUUUCCAAGAAAAUCAUCUAUUUUACUGAGGUUUUUAAAUUAGUGUAAAAUUAUAUUUUAUCAUGUAAAAUCUCCGUGUUUAUAGUUAAUUUCUUCUUCUUAUUCUAAUUUUGUGUAUGCAUAAGCUUAAAUAUUUUUCUGCAUUUGUGACAAUUGCCUAGGGACAGGCAAUUUUAUUUAACAUGUUCCUCUGACCCUUGUCCAUUCUUUGAUUAAUAAAUAGGUCUAGAAGCUGAUCCAAUUCAGGAUCAGUUAUUUUGGCAUAAGUCCUUCACAGGCAGUAUGUACUUCCAUCAGGGGCCAUGUAAACAUAAAUGUCCUUUUUGAUGUUAAUAGCUAUUGUUGACUAUUGCCUAGAUACAUUAGGAGUUGCAAAUGCUGAAAAACUAAUUUUAUCAUUCUUUAUUUGUUUAUCAACUGGAACAAUUCUUUAAAGAGAAGCUAUCCCUCAUCACUAUUUGAUCACUCUUAACUGUCUGUUGACUUGCAUUUUUACCCUUUUAUUUUUACUUUUCCUUUAUACCUGACUUCCUUUACCAAAAUAAUAAUCUUUUCUCUAAAGGUACAGACCCCAGAAUUUUUGCAGAGAUGCUUAUGUAAUUUUUAAUUUAAUUUUUUUGGUAAACAAUACAAAAUUCAAAAGGUUUAAAAGGGCAUAGCAUAAAAAGUAAUCAUUUUCCCCCUACCUCCAGCCACUCAGUUCUCUCUUUGGAGGCAACCACUGUUACAAAUUUCUUAUGGUAGUUUCCAGAGAUAUCAAAACUAUAUAUUCAAAUGAUAAAGCAAAUGGGUUAAAAUGACAAUAAUGAGUGAAUCUGGGUAACAGGUGUAUAAGUGUUCUUUAUAUUGUUUUAUUUGUACAACUUUUGUAAGUUUUAAAGUAUUUCUAAGUAAACAGUAAUAUGCACAUUAAAUAAUAUAUAUUAUAUAUAUACUUUUUGUUUAGUAACUCAAAUGAUACUAACUGUACACGCCGUCCUGCCCCUUGCUUUUCUCAUUAAACCAUAUUAUCUUGAAGAUCU